rnacentral:sRNA from 1 species
GACUUAUAAUAGAGCACAGUUGUUAUCCCUGUUUGAGAAAUAAAUGGCCAUAAAUGCAUGUUGUGCUGAAAAUAGCAUGUUCUAUGAAAGAUCUUUACAAUGACUUCUGUAAAUUGAGCUGUACAUUUUUUUUUUUUUAAUUUAGUUGCAGGGGCCCUGGAUGUUUCCUUUAACAAGUUUAUUCCCUUAUCAGAGCCUGCUCCAGUUCCCCCAAUACCCAAUGAACAGCAGUUAGCCAGACUGACGGAUUAUGUGGCUUUCCUUGAAAACUGAUUUAUCACUCUGAGUUCAAGAUUCGUCUUCAGAAUCCUGUAUACUGACAAAUGUAGAAAUGUAAAGUUUGUAUUUUCAAUUUAUUGGAUGGCUUAAGCACCUCAGCAUUCCUUACUGAGUAUGUGAUAAAAUACAUAUAGAAUAUAAAAUAUACUAUAUACAUUUUGUCCUUAAACAUUAUGCUGAAUAGUUGUUGAAACAGUUCUCAUUUUGUAAUAUUUAAUAAUCUGGAUAGAGCCUCUCAGUAUUACAGUUAGUUUGUUUUCUAGUGACUCAUAAAAUAAGAUUUCCUGUUUCAUGUAGAAUAGUGUUUGUCAACUGUCUUUUCUCUGUCCCAGCACAUGCCAUACUCUUGUAUGUACCAUUGGUUGAUAAUUAUAAUGAUUCAUUUGGACUUGAAGAAAGAUUGUCCCCAGGCACAGUAUC